rnacentral:rRNA from 1 species
AAAUCCCCGAGCUCAACUUGGGAACUGCGUUUGAAACUACAAGGCUAGAGUUUGGUAGAGNNGGGUAGAAUUCCACGUGUAGCAGUGAAAUGCGUAGAGAUGUGGAGGAAUACCAAUGGCGWAGGSAGCCCCCUGGACUAAUACUGACGCUCAUGCACGAAAGCGUNGNGAGCAAACAGGAUUAGAUACCCUGGUAGUCCACGCCCUAAACGAUGUCUACUAGUUGUUGGGAGAGUAAAAUCUCUUAGUAACNCAGCUAACNCGUGAAGUAGACCGCCUNNNGAGUACGGUCGCAAGAUUAAAACUCAAAGGAAUUG